GACACAACCAAAUAUGGGAAUAGUCGUUUUCCUUAAUAGAAUAAAAUCCGAUGAGUUAUAAAAAAAUUCACCCCCCAAGGGUCUUAAUAUCGACCCCGGACCACUCGAGCGGAUGACGGCUGUCCGAGUUUGGAUGAAAAUGCUGCGAAAAGAAGAAUUGAAGAAGAAGAAGAGAAAACGUGUUUGUGUGUGCAGGUGUUUCCUCGCUCUGCUGUAGCUCCGAGGAACUCCGUCGACGUCUUCCAGGAGGAUCCCCCGUCGGUGGCCGUCUUCCUGCUCAGGUAGGAGACUCAGAGCUUUCUUAAUGUUGUUUUAUUAUGUUCCAGGUUUUAGGUGGUAUAGAAGUUUAGACUCAGGUAUUUUCAGGUGUUUAAUGUAAAACUACACUAUUAUUUUUUAAUCUAUUUAGGUAUCGUUAGUCAACAGCUACAUAGCAUUAUGUUAUGUUAUGUUAUGUUAUGUUAAAGCUGAUUUAAGGAGUUAUGACCUCCUUUAGACAUGGACAUCCAGUGCUGGUAUUACUUCCUGAUCUAACGUUAUCCUGAAGGUAGCAUCAGUGUCCUGAAUGUUACAGUUAACUAUUUUCCCUGAAAAUGAUUUGAAUCACUUCUCCUUUGACGGGUUAAAGAGAGUUUAACUUUUAACAGGACACUGAUGCUACCUAGAUCAGGAAGUAAUACCAGCGCUGUGUGUCCAUGUCUAAAGGAGGUCAUAACUCCUUAAAUCUGCUCAACAUACAAAACUCAUAACUCCACCUAAAACCUGGAACAUAAUAAAACAACAUUAAGAAAGCUUUGAGCUCCUACCCAAUGGGGGCUGGAGGAUAGUGGGGG